GUGUCAGCAGCCGCGGUAAAACGUAGGAGGCAAGCGUUAUCCGGAUUUACUGGGCGUAAAGGGCGUGCAGGUGGUUUGUUAAGUGGUGCGUGAAAGCGCUCGGCUCAACCGGGCGAGGCCGUGCCAAACUGACAGACUGGAAACAGGCAGAGGAAAGUGGAAUUCGGGGUGUAGUGGUGAAAUGCGUAGAGAUCCCGAGGAACUCCAGUGGCGAAGGCGACUUUCUGGGCCUGCUUUGACACUCAGACGCGAAAGCAUGGGGAGCGAACGGGAUUAGAAACCCUGGUAGUCC
rnacentral:rRNA from 1 species